UUGUAGCUAACGCGUUAAGCACUCCGCCUGGGGACUACGGUCGCAAGACUAAAACUCAAAGGAAUUGACGGGGACCCGCACAAGCGGUGGAGCAUGUGGUUUAAUUCGAUGCAACGCGAAAAACCUUACCACUUCUUGACAUGGAGGCUAGAUCUUCCUUAACGGGAAGGCGCAGUUCGGCUGGGCCUCGCACAGGUGCUGCAUGGCUGUCGUCAGCUCGUGUCGUGAGAUGUUGGGUUAAGUCCCGCAACGAGCGUAACCCUCAUCCUUAGUUACCAGCGGGUAAUGCCGGGCACUUUAAGGAAACUGCCAGUGAUAAACUGGAGGAAGGUGGGGAUGAUGUCAAGUCAGCACGGCCCUUAUGGGGUGGGCUACACACGUGCUACAAUGGCGACUACAAUAGGUUGCAACGUCGCAAGGCUGAGCUAAUCCGUAAAAGUCGUCUCAGUUCGGAUUGUCCUCUGUAACUCGAGGGCAUGAAGUCGGAAUCGCUAGUAAUCGUGGAUCAGCAUGC
rnacentral:rRNA from 1 species